GUCGGCCUAGUAUAGUGGUUAGUACGAGGCGUUGUGGCCGCCUAGACCCAGGUUCGAUUCCUGGGGCCGACA